AUGAUAGAGAAGAAAAUAUGCCAUCAUGAGGCAGGAUCUUGCUCUGCUCUGUUGUCCAGGUUGGAGUACAGUGGUACCAUCAUUGCCUGCUGCAGCCUCAAACUCUUGGGCUCAAGAAAGCCUCCCACCUCAGCCUCCCAAAAUGCUGAGAUUACAGGAGUUAGCUGCCAUGCCUGUCCAGUAGUCUUUCAUAUCAGAUCCAGAGAGGGGAAAUGUGCAGUCAUUUCUCCACGAAUGUAUGAAAAGCUAAGCGGCAUUCUAGACCAUUCUUAGAAGAUACCGUAGAUCAGAAUGAAGUCAGGAGAAUCUCUGACCAUUUUGUGAGUAUAAUAGAAGCCACUCCUGGUACUGGACUGGGGUAGAAGCCCUGGCCCUGUGGCAGUGCUCAUGAGCACGGUGCAGCUGCUCUUCUUGGGUGCAUCUUCCCCACGAUUCCAUUCUUUCAGUUGCAUCCUCUGGGCUGAUUCUACCAUUCUCCUGUGGUUGCGUGGUAAGUUGUAAGUAGUCAGGGAAUGAUAUGUUGGGAGUCAGUGAAGGAUAUUUUCCAAAAAUGCUGUUUAUCUAUUGGGGUCAAGCUGUGGAUGAGUUCUGGUUCACAGAGAUUUACAGAAUUCACUGGCUCCAUUUCUCUCUUUUUAAAAUGAUCAGUUACAUGAUUGCACUAUCUCAGUGAAGCUUAAGUAUUUAUUUUUAAUCCCCUGUAUUGCUUGUGAUCAUCUUGAUUGCUGCUGCUUGGCAUUUAUCUUCCCAUUUUCAACAGCAUCAACCAAAUGCCUUGCAUGUAGUAGGUGCUCAAAAAGUAUUUGCAGAAUAAACAUACGUGUAUGUAUUUAUACA
rnacentral:lncRNA from 13 species